AUUGAACGCUGGCGGCAGGCCUAACACAUGCAAGUCGAGCGGUAACAGGAAGCAGCUUGCUGCUUCGCUGACGAGUGGCGGACGGGUGAGUAAUGUCUGGGAAGCUGCCUGAUGGAGGGGGUUAACUACUGGAAACGGUAGCUAAUACCGCAUAAUGUCGCAAGACCAAAGAGGGGGACCUUCGGGCCUCUUGCCAUCGGAUGUGCCCAGAUGGGAUUAGCUUGUUGGUGGGGUAACGGCUCACCAAGGCGACGAUCCCUAGCUGGUCUGAGAGGAUGACCAGCCACACUGGAACUGAGACACGGUCCAGACUCCUACGGGAGGCAGCAGUGGGGAAUAUUGCACAAUGGGCGCAAGCCUGAUGCAGCCAUGCCGCGUGUAUGAAGAAGGCCUUCGGGUUGUAAAGUACUUUCAGCGGGGAGGAAGGGAGUAAAGUUAAUACCUUUGCUCAUUGACGUUACCCGCAGAAGAAGCACCGGCUAACUCCGUG
rnacentral:rRNA from 1 species